rnacentral:rRNA from 1 species
UGCCAGACUCCUACGGGAGGCAGCAGUGGGGAAUAUUGCACAAUGGGGGGAACCCUGAUGCAGCAAUGCCGCGUGGGUGAAGAAGCACUCCGGUGCGUAAAGCCCUGUCAGCAGGGAAGAAAAUGACAGUACCUGGACAAGAAGCCCCGGCUAACUACGUGCCAGCAGCCGCGGUAAUACGUAGGGGGCAAGCGUUAUCCGGAUUUACUGGGUGUAAAGGGAGCGUAGACGGCAAUACAAGUCGGAAGUGAAAUACCCGGGCUUAACCUGGGAACUGCUUUGGAAACUGUAUGGCUGGAGUGCUGGAGAGGUAAGCGGAAUUCCUAGUGUAGCGGUGAAAUGCGUAGAUAUUAGGAGGAACACCAGUGGCGAAGGCGGCUUACUGGACAGUAACUGACGUUGAGGCUCGAAAGCGUGGGGAGCAAACAGGAUUAGAUACCCUAGUA